rnacentral:rRNA from 1 species
AUUGAACGCUGGCGGCAGGCCUAACACAUGCAAGUCGAGCGGAUGAAGGGAGCUUGCUCCUGGAUUCAGCGGCGGACGGGUGAGUAAUGCCUAGGAAUCUGCCUGGUAGUGGGGGAUAACGUCCGGAAACGGGCGCUAAUACCGCCUACGUCCUGAGGGAGAAAGUGGGGGAUCUUCGGACCUCACGCUAUCAGAUGAGCCUAGGUCGGAUUAGCUAGUUGGUGGGGUAAAGGCCUACCAAGGCGACGAUCCGUAACUGGUCUGAGAGGAUGAUCAGUCACACUGGAACUGAGACACGGUCCAGACUCCUACGGGAGGCAGCAGUGGGGAAUAUUGGACAAUGGGCGAAAGCCUGACCCAGCCAUGCCGCGUGUGUGAAGAAGGUCUUCGGAUUGUAAAGCACUUUAAGUUGGGAGGAAGGGCAGUAAGUUAAUACCUUGCUGUUUUGACGUUACCAACAGAAUAAGCACCGGCUAACUUCGUG